UGGGGAAUAUUGCACAAUGGGGGAAACCCUGAUGCAGCGACGCCGCGUGAGUGAAGAAGGUUUUCGGAUCGUAAAGCUCUGUUGUUAAGGAAGAACGAGUGUGAGAAUGGAAAGUUCAUGCUGUGACGGUACUUAACCAGAAAGGGACGGCUAACUACGUGCCAGCAGCCGCGGUAAUACGUAAGGUCCGAGCGUUGUCCGGAAUCAUUGGGCGUAAAGGGUACGUAGGCGGAUAAGCAAGUUAGAAGUGAAAUCCUAUAGCUCAACUAUAGUAAGCUUUUAAAACUGCUCAUCUUGAGGUAUGGAAGGGAAAGUGGAAUUCCUAGUGUAGCGGUGAAAUGCGCAGAUAUUAGGAGGAAUACCGGUGGCGAAGGCGACUUUCUGGCCAUAUACUGACGCUGAGGUACGAAAGCGUGGGUAGCAAACAGG
rnacentral:rRNA from 1 species